GAUGAACGCUAGCGGCAGGCUUAACACAUGCAAGUCGAGGGGUAUAGGUUUUCGGACCUAGAGACCGGCGCACGGGUGCGUAACGCGUAUGCAAUCUACCUUUCACAGAGGGAUAGCCCAGAGAAAUUUGGAUUAAUACCUCAUAGUAUUAUGAAGUGGCAUCAUUUUAUAAUUAAAGUUCCAACGGUGAAAGAUGAGCAUGCGUCCCAUUAGCUAGAUGGUAAGGUAACGGCUUACCAUGGCGACGAUGGGUAGGGGUCCUGAGAGGGAGAUCCCCCACACUGGUACUGAGACACGGACCAGACUCCUACGGGAGGCAGCAGUGAGGAAUAUUGGUCAAUGGACGCAAGUCUGAACCAGCCAUGCCGCGUGCAGGAUGACGGUCCUAUGGAUUGUAAACUGCCUUUGUACGAGAAGAAACAUCCCGACGUGUCGGGACUUGACGGUAUCGUAAGAAUAAGGAUCGGCUAACUCCGUGCCAGCCGCCGCGGUAACAC
rnacentral:rRNA from 1 species